GAUAGAUAAGUGCAAAGAAUACGGCAUAGCUGCUUUAACUGAUGGGAGUGUCCUGAUUGAGUGUGCAUAGUCUCAUAUCCAAUUCAGGUUACAGGGUAGACCAGAUGCUGUAGAUCAUGGGAACAACAGAGCCGGUCUUUUCUUUGACAGGUAAGGACAUGUGGUGCAUGUUUUCCCACAGGGAUGAAGUCUCCGACAGAGUAGUGACGACGCCAAGGUCAGACAACAAUGACAUGAACAGAUUUCAGCAUUGUCCAGGAACACAAGCAGGGUGUUUUCCCACAGUGGGGGCCGCAGAGAGAGGCACCUGCUCAGUAUACACUACAGUGCACUGAAGUGCAAACAGAGGUCUUGCUUCCAUAAGAGAUAUAUGAAGCGCACUGGAAAGGGGGAGAGUACAGAAGGACCACAGGAGCUGGAGACUCCUGCUUACUUUGUUAUACAACAAGUUGUGUCACUUUCAGCAGCCAGUAUCACUGGCAAUGAGGGAGAUUUUGUGAUUAGACAAAAAUGAACUUGACCUGAUCAAAAGUUGCUUCUCUGAAUUACAUAGUCUCAUAUCAGAGCUCAGUUGCCACCUUUUUUUGGUGCUUCAUUCCGUGCUGUUCCUGACCUUUAAAAAGGACUCGUUGUGACACCUUGUAACUCAGCCAGACGGUGUCUCUCGGGGGAAACAGAAGAAGCCUUGUUUGCACAAAUGAUUCAGUGGAUUUUGUUCCAGCUUCAAAGUGGCUGUCCUUGGCCUCAAAGUCCCGUGAACCUUUUGCAAAUGCAGAAGAUGGAUCUAGCAUCCUAUGCAAUCGUCAUCUAUCGGGGUGCCUAGGUUCAUAUAGAUUCACCCCUUCAGGCCAGACAAGCUAUUCAGACUGUGCUGCAGCGUAUUAAAGUCAUAGAUCCAGACACUAGAGACACCCAAGUGUCUUUUUACACUAUAUUAAGUCAUACAGCAUUCUAGGACCAAGAGUGGACUGAUUUCACUGCAAGUCAUCUACUGAAAGACCACAGAACAAUAAUUAGGACACAACCCUUGCAUUGUACCGUAACUUAGUGCCAAACAACCAAUCAGCUACUUUUUAGUAUUGCUUGGCUGGAUUUCAGCUGCUUUCCAAUUUACAUGAACAUGUCAUUCUUUGAGCAUGCACAUUUAAGCAUGACUUUCUUCAUGACCGAAGGACUCCCUACUAUCCCAACCUAACAGACUGGUAUCAGUGUCUCAUAGCUACUGGAAUCUAUCUUUCUGGGCUCCCAAAAUCCAGGAAGAUUUGUACUCAAUGGAUUUCAUCUAGAAGCAAGAAGACGAGUGUGAGACCUCCAGGAAGUGGAGGGCUAUUGUUUCACAUCCUUGAAGACAAAGCAUGCAACACAAGAACUCUUUGAAUAGAUGAUCCUGGCCAGCAUUUCAUUCCUAAAAUGAAUGUCAGAAGCGAAAACCUAGCCACAGCUAUCUCAGAAACUUUAUAAAGAGAAUACUAAAAUUAGACAACAUAGUGCUAUCAUCAAUUACAGAAAGUCCACGUUUCAGUAAUCUUGUUCCUGUCUCAGGUGUUCCAAUACUCUGCUGUCCAGAGGUGACCACUUUGAGCCUGUCUCUAUCCAGAAGUGUCCAACCAAAUAUGGGCAGGGAUUCCUGAAUCUCUUUGGGAAAGCUGAAAGCACGGUGUGCCAGGACCCCUGAAUAUAUGCUCUAGGCCAGCAAUUCAUUCCAAAGCCUCAUUCCACAGCUGCCUUAGGGAGCUCAAACUACACGAGGCCCAGGUGUUCCUGAUUGCUUCCAGAUGGCUGAGGGUACAUGAAGUGCCUGGAUGCUCAGCUAUGACAGCUAUCCCUUUGACUUUGACAUCAGAGCACUGCAAGUGAGCACCUGUGGGUUUGCUUCUUGAGUAGGUUGAACUGAUCUAAAUGUGGUCAACGCCAUUCUGUUCACCUGAGGUUGUCCCAGGUCUACCUAAUAUGAGAUUAUGUGUUAUAGAUAUGAUAAUAUUAAUAAUCAUAUAAGAUAAUAUAAGAUGUAGGAGUGUAGCUUGAGUUGUACCCCGUCCCUGUCAUGGUGAAGAUCAUGACGAUAUUUGUUUAAGAAGACGUAUACUACCAAUAAGGCUCAUCCAGAAACAAAUUCAUCUUUUCAUACUGUAGUGGACAGGUUUUCAGUAGGGCACAAUCUCUUCUAAUGUUCAGUAAGCCCUGGAGUUGUAGCUUCUGAGGGGAGCUCUGUUAUUAUGGUUUCUAAAUGUUCUAAAACAACUUUUUUUUCGCUGAAAGUGACACAAAUAGUAUGUGGCACGGGUUUCGUUUUUCAAAAUUAAUUGCGGAAAAAAUGGCAUGCGCUACAAAACAGGUUGCCGUCUCCUGGUCUAGAGAGUUUCUUAGUCGAGUUAGAGAUACAGUAAGUCCUGCUUGCUCCUAAAUACAUUCCCCCUUCUUUUUUAGCGAUGAAGAAGAGCUCAAGCUGAUCUAACCCCAUCCUAACAACACCUUGGUAGAUGCUGUCAUUUUUCUUGACCACUGUCACUAUCAUUUGCACUACUGUGUUAAUUGACUUAUUCUUGGAUUGAUCCUAGUACAACAGGAAAUCAAUCCUAUCAAAUCUUUUGGAACCUGUGCGACUCUUAAAUUAUUAAAAUGUUAACUGUGCGACAGUUUAAAUUCUGCACCUUGUGCCAGUUUUGGAAUUUUUUGGGGGGAGUUGUAAUACUGUAGGUAUUCUUCAAACUCAAAGAGAGCUGAAGGUUAUUUUUUCAAACACAACUCCCUUGAGCGGAACAAUCCAUUAGUGUGGCAGGUUUCUACCAUCAGUCAAGAGUCAGUACUUCAGGAGCGGCUUGGCUCCUCAGUGACCUUACUGCUUGGCCUGUCUUGUCUCAGGCAAGGAGGGGGGAAAGAGAUUGCAUCCCUGAGGCAGGAAAGUGAUAUUAGUGUUGGGUAGUAAAUAUCACUGUCAUUUUCUGGGAAACUCAUGGAACACCAGAUACAUUCUUUAAUCUCCUCUGAAAUGUUAUCAGAAUGGAUUUUGAUUUUAACAAGGGAUGGUACAGGAGUGUUGAUAUUUCAGAGUGAAAAUCACGUUGUUGAUAUGAGGUAGAACUGCUAUACGUUGUAUAAGCUAAAUGUUCAGCAUUUUCUUUCCAUCAGUAAUAGUACAGAUAACAUAAAACAUGUUCUGGGUAACUCUUUCUCGGGUAUUUUUGAAAUUCUAUGGAAUUCAUCACUGUCUCCGAAUCGAACCAACCUCAGGGAGAUACAGUAGAUUUAGGCUGCAGUCUUUCCUGAAGAAAUGCUAAUACUCUCUUUCAGUUUAAUUAGUCAGUUAAGGACAAAUCCGCAGCAUUCAUUCCAAACAUACUAUUAUCCUGCAC